AAGCAUGCAAGUCGAGCGGUAAGCUGUAGCAAUACAGCCUAGAGCGGCGGACUGGUGAGUAACACGUGGGUGACCUACCCUUAGGAUGGGGAUAGCCACUAGAAAUAGUGGGUAAUACCGAAUGUGGUUACCGGGCUGUGGCCUGGUAAAGAAAGGAGCUAUGGCUCCGCCUGAGGAUGGGCCCGCGUCCCAUUAGUUAGUUGGUGAGGUAACGGCCCACCAAGGCGAUGAUGGGUAGCCGGCCUGAGAGGGUGAACGGCCACACUGGGACUGAGAUACGGCCCAGACUCCUACGGGAGGCAGCAGCUAAGAAUAUUCCGCAAUGGACGAAAGUCUGACGGAGCGACGCCGCGUGGAUGACGAAGGCCGAAAGGUUGUAAAAUCCUUUUGUCGAUGAAGAAUAAGCAUGGGAGGGAAUGCCCGUG
rnacentral:rRNA from 1 species